GAUGACCAGGCUAAAAGAAAGAGGCAGUUUCCCAAAUAAUGACUUGGUUCACAAAUCAAAACAGGUUGCCUACUGAAAGCUCAUUUGUAGUCUGUGAUUAACAUCAAUAUAAGAUGUGAUAAACUGAAAACGGUGACUAAGAGGAAAUAACAUAGAGAGUGCAGCCUACUCACCACUCUGAUAGAUGGCAUGUUUGGCAUCUUCCUUGAACAUUUCACAGCCACCUAAUCAACAAAACAAAGAAUUAACAAUUAGCAUGUGCAGAUAGUUGAUAUCACUCCAAUCAUAAAUCCUGAAGAGAUGUGCAAAGUUUUUAAGUGAAGAAAAUUUAAACCUUAAGUCCAUCCUUGCAGCGAGUCCCACAUCCUCCUUCACCAUCUUGCAGCUGAUUUUAUACUGCUUGUGAAUGUGGCCUAAUAACAGACAAACAAUUGUGGAUGUCCUGCACAAGCCGUUCCUCAGCAGUGAGGAGGACUUUCUCUCUCCCUGCCUCCGUUCUCCCUCCAUCAGUCUCAACACCACCAACAGGCGCCUCAUCAGGCAGAUUAGGAUGACUGUUCUCUGACGUGAUGGGGUAAAGUACACCGGGACAUCCUGCUUCUGCUGUUCCUCAGCAGCGGGGAGGACUUCAAGAGCUGGAGCU